rnacentral:rRNA from 1 species
UACGUAGGGUGCGAGCGUUGUCCGGAAUCAUUGGGCGUAAAGCGCGUGUAGGCGGCCCGGUAAGUCCGCUGUGAAAGUCCAGGGCUCAACCCUGGGAUGCCGGUGGAUACUGUCGGGCUCGAGUCCGGAAGAGGCGAGUGGAAUUCCUGGUGUAGCGGUGAAAUGCGCAGAUAUCAGGAGGAACACCAAUGGCGAAGGCAGCUCGCUGGGACGUGACUGACGCUGAGACGCGAAAGCGUGGGGAGCAAACAGG